rnacentral:rRNA from 1 species
GAAUCCGCCCUUGGCGGCGUUGCUUAACACAUGCAAGUCGAACGAACCUUCGGGUUAGUGGCGGACGGGUGAGUAACGCGAAUCUGCCCUCAGGAGGGGGACAACAGUUGGAAACGACUGCUAAUACCCCAUAUGCCGCGAGGUGAAAUGAAUUUCGCCUGAGGAUGAGCUCGCGUCUGAUUAGCUAGUUGGUGUAGGUAAUGGCUCACCAAGGCAUCGAUCAGUAGCUGGUCUGAGAGGAUGAUCAGCCACACUGGGACUGAGACACGGCCCAGACUCCUACGGGAGUGCAGCAGUGGGGAAUUUUCCGCAAUGGGCGAAAGCCUGACGGAGCAACGCCGCGUGAGGGAUGAAGGCCUCUGGGCUGUAAACCUCUUUUAUCAAGGAAGAAGAUUUUUCCCCUUUUUGGGGGAAAAAACGGGGUACUUGAUGAAUAAGCCACGGCUAAUUCCGUGCCAGCAGCCGCGGUAAUACGGGAGUGGCAAGCGUUAUCCGGAAUUAUUGGGCGUAAAGCGUCCGC